GGGUCAGUAGGUUGGUCGUGCCACCGGUACGUACUGGUCUCACUGAUUCCUCCUUCCUGAAGAACCGUAAUGCCAUUAAUUUGGUGUUGCGGGGAAACAGGACUGUUACUUUGAAAAAAUUAGAGUGUUUAAAGCAAGCUAACGCUUGAAUACAUUAGCAUGAAUAAUGAAAUAGGACGAUCGAUCCUAUUUUGUUGGUUUCUAGGAUUGACGUA
rnacentral:rRNA from 1 species